AUUGAACGCUGGCGGCAUGCCUUACACAUGCAAGUCGAACGGCAGCACGGGUGCUUGCACCUGGUGGCGAGUGGCGAACGGGUGAGUAAUACAUCGGAACAUGUCCUGUGGUGGGGGAUAGCCCGGCGAAAGCCGGAUUAAUACCGCAUACGAUCUACGGAUGAAAGCGGGGGACCUUCGGGCCUCGCGCUAUAGGGUUGGCCGAUGGCUGAUUAGCUAGUUGGUGGGGUAAAGGCCUACCAAGGCGACGAUCAGUAGCUGGUCUGAGAGGACGACCAGCCACACUGGGACUGAGACACGGCCCAGACUCCUACGGGAGGCAGCAGUGGGGAAUUUUGGACAAUGGGCGAAAGCCUGAUCCAGCAAUGCCGCGUGUGUGAAGAAGGCCUUCGGGUUGUAAAGCACUUUUGUCCGGAAAGAAAUCCUUGGCCCUAAUACGGUCGGGGGAUGACGGUACCGGAAGAAUAAGCACCGGCUAACUACGUG
rnacentral:rRNA from 1 species